rnacentral:rRNA from 1 species
AGUGGCGCACGGGUGAGUAACACGUAAGUAAUCUACCUUCGAGUGGGGAAUAACAGUCGGAAACGACUGCUAAUACCGCAUAAUGCAGCGGCAUCGCAAGAUGACAGUUGUUAAAGGAGCAAUUCGCUUGAAGAGGAGCUUGCGGCAGAUUAGCUAGUUGGUAAGGUAAUGGCUUACCAAGGCUACGAUCUGUAUCCGGUCUAAGAGGACGGUCGGACACACUGACACUGAAUAACGGGUCAGACUCCUACGGGAGGCAGCAGUCGGGAAUUUUGGGCAAUGGGCGAAAGCCUGACCCAGCAACGCCGCGUGAAGGAUGAAGUAUUUCGGUAUGUAAACUUCGAAAGAAUGGGAAGAAUAAAUGACGGUACCAUUUAUAAGGUCCGGCUAACUACGUGCCAGCAGCCGCGGUAAUACGUAGGGACCAAGCGUUGUUCGGAUUUACUGGGCGUAAAGGGCGCGUAGGCGGCAAUUCAAGUCAUCUGUGAAAUCUCCGGGCUUAACUCGGAACGGUCAGAUGAUACUGCUUUGCUAGAGUGCAGAAGGGGCAAUCGGAAUUCUUGGUGUAGCGGUGAAAUGCGUAGAUAUCAAGAGGAACACCUGAGGUGAAGACGGGUUGCUGGGCUGACACUGACGCUGAGGCGCGAAAGCCAGGGGAGCAAACGGGAUUAGAUACCCCGGUAGUCCUGGCCCUAAACGAUGAAUACUUGGUGUCUGGAGUUAUUAUUGCUCUGGGUGCCGUCGCUAACGUUUUAAGUAUUCCGCCUGGGGAGUACGCACGCAAGUGCGAAACUCAAAGGAAUUGACGGGGACCCGCACAAGCGGUGGAGCAUGUGGUUUAAUUCGACGCAACGCGAAGAACCUUACCUGGACUAGAAUGUGAGGGAAGGGCUUCUAAUAGAGUCCGUCUGGGAAACCAGACCCAAAAACAAGGUGCUGCAUGGCUGUCGUCAGCUCGUGUCGUGAGAUGUUGGGUUAAGUCCCGCAACGAGCGCAACCCUUAUCAACAGUUGCCAUCAUUAAGUUGGGAACU